rnacentral:tRNA from 1 species
GCGGGUGUGCUGUAGUGGUAGCAGACAACUUUUCCAAAGUUGGCGUGCGGGUCCGAUUCCCGCCACCCGCU